GUAUGCUAAGUGCACCUUCCGGUACACUUACCUUGUUACGACUUGCCUCAUCUUCAGCGAUUUGUUGUAUUAGUUAAUGUAUUUGGGGCUUGUGAGGAGGGUGACGGGCGGUGUGUACGUACCCUAGGGCCGGUUUAAAGAGGGCUUGAUUGUCCCUCUUUACUGCUAAAUCCGCCUUCUGGGGUGGGUUUCAGGUCCCCUUCCGUUGGUUUUCUAUUUUAGAAAAUGUAGCCCAUUUCUUCCACUUCGUGGGCUAUACCUUGACCUGUCUUGCUAGCGGGUUGUGGGCUAUUAGGCUCACUGUUGUACUCUCACGGAGGUGGGCUGGCGACGGCGGUAUGUAGGCUGGUUCUGGCAAGAAGUGGUUGGGUGUAUCGUGGGUUAUCGAUUAUAGAACAGGCUCCUCUAGGUGGGUUUAGGGUACCGCCAAGUCCUUAGAGUUUUAAGCGUUUGUGCUCGUAGUUCUCGGGCGGAUGUUCGUGUAGGGGAAGGGAACAUCGAGAUUUAGGGCUAGGCAUAGUGGGGUAUCUAAUCCCAGUUUGUACCCUAGCUUUCGUGGGGUGGGAUGGGUCGUGAGUGCUAAGAUCGUUUUUAGGUUGGGCUUCAGGGUGCCUUGGACUUGUGACGGUUUGGGCUGUGGUUUGAUCUUAGUGAGUUGUGAUAGUCUGGGGCCACUCUUUACGCCGUGUACGGUUAAUUUGGGUCUCUUGUAUGACCGCGGUGGCUGGCACAAGAUUUACCAACCCUGAUUGCCCUGGCUAAGUCAGGCUUGCGCCUAUUGCUUAAUGUUAAUUACUGCUGAGUACCCGUGGGGGCGUGGCAUGGCAAGGCGUUUUGGGCUGCGGAGGUGUGGGCGUGCCUGAUACCUGCUCCUUUUGUCUUGGUAAGAGGUUGGGGGCGUUUGCACUGGAAUGCGGAUACUUGCAUGUAUAUGUCGGGCGAGAAUUAACGGUAAGGUUAGGACUAAGUCUUUU
rnacentral:rRNA from 1 species